ensembl:lincRNA
CUAAAAACCCACAGUGUAGAAGUAAAAACAAGACCACCCAAGCUCCAUUAUAUAUGCAUGCAAAAAAAAUUGUUGAUUUUCCAAUGCAUUGUUUUGCUUACACAAUUGCAUGAAAAAUAAUAAGUAAAGGAGUAUAUAAACUGAUUCAAGGUUUUGGCAGGUGAGACCUUCAUUCAUUUUGAAUAUACUCAGCACAGGAAGUGAGAUCAUGACCGAAGAGACUGAACAGAUUCAGAGUCUGGUUGAAUACAAUAACAAUAGUGGAGGAAGUAUUGCGGAAAGCUUUGAGGUAAGUUGCACAUUAUAAAAUUAAACAACAGAGUUAUAGUUUAUCCACUUAAAUAGAAAAAACAUUUGGUAGAUCAGCAUGUCAUUUCGCAUCACAUGUUUCAGUAUUUGUUAAGGGAAGAAUUUUUCAUUACUGAAUUACUCUUUUCAUUACUUUUUUCAUUCUUUUAUUUUAACACAUUUUAAUCGGGUUUUAAUCAUUUGCAUUAUUUAUUUUAUUUUAUUUUUAUUUAUUAAUGUUUAUGCAAAGCACUUUGAAUUGUCACUGUGUAUGAAAUGUGCAUAAUAAAUAAACUUGCCUUGCCUUGCCUUUAAUGUUAAAAGUCAUAAAAACAACAAAUGAGAGAUUGAGAGUUUUUGCAAUUUAGGAGAUUCUUCCUGAAAGCAUAAAUGUACAUUUGAUCUUUUGUGAAAUAUCGCUGUUUUUCAAAUUUACAGAAAGAGCUAUGUUAUUCCAGGAUGUCAUCUUUGCUGCUGUCUUCUUUGCUUUUUAUCCCUCAGGAAAUGCUCAUGAUAAAAACUGGGUGCAGCAGUGGCCGAGUAAAGUCUACAAAACACCAGGAGAAAACCUCACCAUGUACUGUCAGACUCAUGGAGGUCUUCAGAACGCCACGUGUUUAGUACAGUGGUUUAUCAAGAACAGCAAUGGGAACUUUGACAGCAUCGAUGAGUUCAUACAGUUUAGAGAGAGAUAUACUCAACACAAAAACAAAACGCAUUUUCACCAAGGCUUUACUCUGAUGUCCCUACAGCUCAAUGACACCGGCAGGUUCCACUGUAAUUACUUGUGCAAAAGUAACAGCACAUAUGAACAGUACUAUGGAACCGGGACGCAACUUUUUGUACAUUUAAGGAUCGAAAAUGUGUCCCUGAGCACUGCACUUUCUACCUCUGAUACUACAGGUAAGAAAAGAAUUGUGAAACUUAUUUCUUGCCACUGUUUUCAUUAUUGCUAAGUUGAUUACCUUCUCUUUUUUUCCUCAGAGGGAUUGGAGGAUGAAUCCAGAGCAAGCAUGUUUUUCCAAUUUCCCAUUUUAAUUGUUUUAUUAGCUAAACUUGUGGUAUUUAUGUUUAUGACUUUUGCUGCACUUUUUUCUUCACAUUAAAUCUGACUCUUCUGUUUAACUCUGUGCAAGGCAGGUUUAUUUAAAUGGUAAAUUUCCUCAUUAUUAAGUGCUUAAAUGACAUACUUUAGGGGAGCAAUAUGAUAUGAAUUUGGUAUAAACAGUAUUGAUUUUAAAUAAUCAAAUAAUAUAAAACUUGCACAAAAGAGUAGGUAAAUGUCAAAGCUUAAAUUAAUAACUAUUAAAAUAAAUACAUUAUUAGGAAAGAGGCUUAGUGGUUAGCACUGUCACCUCACAGCAAGAAGGUCACUGGUUCCCAGCUGUGUCGGUUGGCAUUUCUGUGUGGAGUUUGCAUGUGCUCCGGUUUCCCCCACAGUCCAAAGACAUGCGCUACAGGUGAAUUGAAUAAGCUAAACUGGCCGUAGUGUAUGUGUAUGUGUGAGUGUGUAUGGAUGUUUCCCAGUACUGGGUUACAGCUGGAAGGGCAUCCGCUGUGUAAAACAUAUGCUGGAUAGGUUGGCAGUUCAUUCCGCUGUGCGACCCCUGAUUAAUAAAGGGACUAAGCCGAAGGAAAUUGAAUGAAUGAAUGAAUAAUUCGAAAGAAGAGUAUACAAAAGUACUGUAUGAAUGUAAUGAGAAAUCUUAAAAGUUUGAAGUCUGUGAGGUUAUAUUAACAUUUAAUGUAGUUCAUUUGAACUAUUUAUCAAACAAAGCAUUUCUUUUGAGCUUUAUAUUCAUCAAUAAAUGCAGGAAAAGAUAUAUUAGUUUUCAAAAAGAAAUAUUAGAGAGCACAAGCUAACUUUUAUCCAAGCAAUAUCUUUCUGCAUGGUUUUAAAGUUAAUAUAACUACAAUGAUCCUUGAGAAAUAUGAGAGGUAAAGUAUGGCAAUGUGUUUCAGUAAGAAAAUUCACAAGCAAUGCUAAAAAAUAAAUCUUGAUUUAAUAAUAAAUCUUCAAAUAAUAUUCAAAGUGCCCUUUAGUUGUUCAGUUUAAUAAGAAUGGAAGAUCUGAAUCAUUGCGGGGGCACUGCACCCACGCAGCGAACUGGCCGGGCAUUUAAUGCACUGCCUACCCCAUUUGUAGGCCUUUUAAUAAUACUGAAACCCACAUUGCCCUUUAGUUUAAUGCAAAACAUGAAGCAGCUGUUAAAGUCUUUAAUAAUAGCACAACUUUUAUUUAAAUAUGUGUGUGACUACAUUCACUGCAUGCCUGCAUUUACAGACAUAAGCAAUUACCAGAAAUGAAAAAUACAUAACUCUCAGUAUUUAAUCAGUUGUAGGAUGAAUAUUAAUAUGCAACCAUAAAUAUAUUUUAUUAACCUCAACCAAUAUCUAAAUAAUAAGGAUACUAAUAAUAAUAAUAAUAAUAAUAAUAAUAAUAAUAAUAAUAAUAACAAUAACAACAAAUAUGGCACUCACAAGACAGAAAGAAAUGGCACAUCUGUAUUUUACGUUGUAUUAAUAAAGUAUACUUAUAUUAACAAGUCACUGAAAAAACUAUAUCAAAAGUGGCAAUUACCACAAUUGCAACUAACAUUGGUCUCAAUUUAAGCAAAUACAUAGUGUUAUAACUCACCUCACUAAUUCCUGUAUACAAGUAAUAAUCCAGUCUUUAGCAAAAUAUUUUUUAAACCAGCCUGAAAGGAAAAAGCAACAUUUAAAUUAAUGGAUAUCUAACUAGUCGGCCAUUAAAAACAAACUGUAUUUUAUAAUAUGAUUGACUGAACAUUUUACUGUCCAGUAUGGCUGUAUAUUUUUUAUCAAAA